UAUAAGCAAAUUUAUGAGUUCGUAAAUGAAGCAGAUCUAGCAGUUGCAGGACUCUCCUUAUGAAGUUUAGUUCAUAAGUGAUCCAUUAGUAGCUCAUACGUGAAAUACAUAAGACACAAAAGGAUACAUAGGUUAAUGAUGUUGAAAAGGUAUGAAAUUUAUGGAGUAUAUUUUGGUCUCCUCAAUUAUUGAUUGUAUUUUGGUAUCUUCAGAUCAUGUCUCUAAUGCUUUUUCAGCUUCUGUCCUUCAGCAAUUUUUACAUGCUAACUGUCCGUAACUUCUUUAAUGAUUCUGUUUUCAACUUCCAUCCUUUAGAUUCUUUCCAGGUUUACUAUCCGCAACCAUAUCUAAAUAAUACUCAUUUCGUUGUGUAUUAUUAGACUAAAAUUAAAUGGCUUUGUCUUCUAUUUUUAUUUUGCAACUCCUUUUAGGGAUAAGUGGCUUGUCCUCAUCUUGCAAAAGCUUUAGCCAAAGAAUCAUUCUUCGCCUUCUAUCAUUUGGAACUGCUUUCAGUGAACAUUGGCAGUUUCAUAAUACUAUCAUUAUGGUUUUACUGCAAAUUUCCAGGUCAUGAAAGAGUUUCAUUCUAUAGAACAUAUCAAAGAGCCUGGAACAACUUACUUUUGUAGGACACUGCUAUCUGGAGAAGCUAUCCCCAUUUCCUUCGACCCAUCAUGUAUUGUACUUCAAUACUUCAAAUUCUACCAAGAUUUGCUAGAGCUCAUUGGUCUCAAACCUACCUUUCCUUUACGGAUACCCAACUGAAAUACUGACUUAUCAACUGCAGCUGUUAAAAAUCAGAUUUCACACAAUCGUAAUAUGCCUCAUACAUAACUUGGACCACGUAUGUUUUACUGUUUUUACCUUUCUAGCAAGCUCAAAGUAUAGCUGUAUAACUUUGUUCCAUAACUGAAUGUAUACAAUAUGAAGCAUAUUAUGUUAAUACUUAGUUUAAUGAUGUCUCCUUUAUUUGGAUCUCAUUAGUACAACGAUGUUCGGAGUAUGCCCGUGCAUAGCACGAGCACGGACCAUCUAGUA